GGCCGCGGGAAUUAGAUUCAGGCCUAACACAUGCAAGUCGAGCGGAUGAAGAGAGCUUGCUCUCUGAUUUAGCGGCGGACGGGUGAGUAAUGCCUAGGAAUCUGCCUGGUAGUGGGGGAUAACGUUCCGAAAGGAACGCUAAUGCCGCAUACGUCGUACGGGAGAAAGCAGGGGACCUUCGGGCCUUGCGCUAUCAGAUGAGCUUAGGUCGGAUUAGCUAGUUGGUGAGGUAAUGGCUCACCAAGGCGAUGAUCCGUAACUGGUCUGAGAGGAUGAUCAGUCACACUGGAACUGAGACACGGUCCAGACUCCUACGGGAGGCAGCAGUGGGGAAUAUUGGACAAUGGGCGAAAGCCUGAUCCACCCAAGGCGCGUGUGUGAAGAAGGUCUUCGGAUUGUAAAUCAAAUGGAGUUGGGAGGAAGGGCAUUAACCUAAUACGUUAGUGUUUGACGUACCAACAGAAUAGCC
rnacentral:rRNA from 1 species